GCGCCCGUAGCUCAGCAGGACAGAGCAUCUGCCUUCUAAGCAGAGGGUCAACCGUUCAAGUCGGUUCGGGCGUGCCA
rnacentral:tRNA from 1 species